rnacentral:lncRNA from 1 species
CAAAGAGUACAGAGUUUUGUUCCCACGAAUCAAGCCAGUUUAGACACUUGUGUUCAUCAAUUGCAGCCUCGUUCCCUCUUUCAGCUUUGUCCUGUUUUUCUUUGUUACAGAGUGAAACAGGGCCAAUGGUCCAAAUUUUCUUGUUUUUCGCAUUCAUUAAACCCUCGAUGUAUUCUUUUUCCAAAUCCUCAAAGGUAUUCACCACCAUUCCAUAAGCUUCCUCCUCCGCUUUCUUCAUUUUUUCACUCAUUACUCGCCACUCUUCAUUUCUCGGCCUGGCAGCAUUUCCAAGCUGAUUUUUGGUUAGUUCAAUCUUGUCGAACAAUCCAGGCACUCGAAAAUACUCUGUAUCAGACUCGAUCUUUUCUAACCCUUCCCAAUCUUUCAAAUUAUGUAAACAUAACAAAGAAAAGCAACCCAUUCCAUGGAAAACAAUUCUAGGAAUGUUGAACUUUUGUGCAACAUUAG